AUUGAACGCUGGCGGCAGGCCUAACACAUGCAAGUCGAACGAGUGGCGGACGGGUGAGUAAUGUCUGGGAAACUGCCCGAUGGAGGGGGAUAACUACUGGAAACGGUAGCUAAUACCGCAUACCAUCGGAUGUGCCAAGAUGGGAUUAGCUUGUAGGUGAGGUAACGGCUCACCUAGGCGACGAUCCCUAUCUGGUCUGAGAGGAUGACCAGCCAAACUGGAACUGAGACACGGUCCAGACUCCUACGGGAGGGAGCAGUGGGGAAUAUGGCACAAUGGGCGCAAGCCUGAUGCAGCCAUGGCGCGGGUAUUAAGAAGGCCGUCGGGUUGGAAAGUACUUUCAGCGGGGAGGCGUUACCCGCAGAAGAAGCACCGGCUAACGCCGGGCCAGCAGCCGCGGUAAUAC
rnacentral:rRNA from 1 species